GACGAACGCUGGCGGCGUGCCUAAUACAUGCAAGUAGAACGCAGAUGCGAACGGGUGAGUAUAACGUAUGUAACCUGCCUCCUAGCGGGGGAGAACUCUUGGAGACGCUAGCUAAUACCGCAUACUGUGAGAUGGCCCUGCGUUGGAUUAGCUAGUUGGUGGGGUAAAGGCUUACCAAGGCGCCGAUACUGAGCCGACCUGAGAGGGUGAUCGGCCACAUUGGGACUGAGACACGGCCCAGACUCCUACGGGAGGCAGCAGUGGGGAAUCUUCCGCAAUGGACGGAAGUCUGACCGAGCAACGCCGCGUGAGUGAUGAAGGUUUUCGGAUCGUAAAGCUCUGUUGAUAGGGAAGCGGUACCUAACCAGAAAGGGACGGCUAACUACGUGCCAGCAGCCGCGGUAAUAC
rnacentral:rRNA from 1 species